ACAUUUUUCUUUUACUUAAAAUAAAUAUUAUUAUUUCUUUCUGGUUAUGAAUAAAUUUUACCACAUUACAUUUCAAACUAAAGUAAAAUAAAUAUGUUACUCAAGUAGGGGAGAAGUGGGAAUUUUGUGCAUUGAAUGUGAAGUUGAAAUUGAUCUUUUGUAUUGUUCUUGGUUAAUAAAUCUCAUGACAAAGGGGGAAAAAUAUUUUCUUUUUCUUAUGUAAAAUAUGGUGAAAUUGAUGGCUUGGUAUGAUAAUCUAUAAAAAGCUGCUGUCUAUAUUAGACACUGCUCUAAAAGUGCAUGCUAAAUCAACCAGGGCGAUUGGGUUUGAAAUUGAUCAGGAAAGCCCUAAGGUCUAUUUCGGAAUCGAUACCUUAGAACAUGGAUGAGGGAGAAGAGAGUAGUGUACGGGAUCAUUCCAGAAUCGAGGAGAGAGACUUUUGUCGAUGGGUUGAGAAAAAUUGUGAAUGGUGAAUGCUUGAAUUAGUUAAAGUGGUAGAAUUACGUGCAACAUUUUCAUUUUUGGCUCUGAAGUGGAGCUUUUUUCUUUGAUGAAGAUGAAUGCUCUGCUUGUAGUCUUUCUAGAAAAGAUUGGUGACUGUGCUUAACCUAUUUUGUGACUGUCCUAAUUUGCUAUGCUCAAAUCCUGCCUUGAUCCGUUGACUGGUUUACUGGUGCUUUGAGGUAGCUAGUUUUCCAGGUUUUUUAAGGAGCUAUGCAGUUUAAGUAUAGUCAUUUUGAUGUUCAUCUGGUUGACUAGCUGCUCGAUGAAACUCUUUGCACCUGUCUUGGCGCAUCAUUUCUAAUCCGAGUCUGAAUCCAUUGGUUGGUCUCUUGGAUGGCUUUAGCUUUCUGGUUAGCUUGCCUUUCGCAGGGUUAUAUUUGCAUACUUUUCAUACAAGAUGAGUCUUGACCCUAGUGUUGUGCCAGUCCUCACACUUUAUAGACUUAAAGGGUAAAAUAAACAAGGGCCUCAUAUAAUAUAAUAGUGCUUCAAUUUUCAAUUUCUAAACAAACACUUCUAUAUUUAAGAAUAGUGUUGGUUCAUUUUAUCAUAGUAAUAGUAUAAAUUUACAAAUCUAGAUCCAAGCACUGCAAGUCUGUAAAUAUAAAUCAACAGAAAAGUCAAGAUAAAGGUAGGCACAUAAACUAAAACAAACAUUGAAGAAAUUGGCUCUAAAAAUUGAAUAAAGGGGAAUCCAAAUAGAUACUUAAGUAGAAUGAUUACUCUUCUCAAAAAUUGCUAGACCGGGAAUCUGAAUCUGUAUAAGUGGAGCCACUAAAGACUUGAAAGCAAGGAGGUCAAGAGACUUACUUUAGAAUUGUAGUAGGUAGUACAUCUGGUUGUACUGAAAGUGAGUGGAAGUUGAGGAUUGGAGAGCCUGCAUGUCUUAUAAUUUUCUUUCUCCAACUACUAGGCUUCUUGUAUUAUAAUCCAAUUUCAUGUGGAGCUUUUUCUGGUGACUGCAUCAGCCUUGGACCUUCGGAAAUUACCCCUCCAAACUAAGCUCAAGGGUGGGCUUGCUUGACCCUCAUCUGCUAGUGAUAAUGUUAGGCUACUUGAACUGUUUUGUCCCCCUUUUUUGGGGUUGAAUUAUAUGGCUAGCCUUGACCCUCUAUGCUAGAAAGUUCUUAUGUAUACCUUCCCCUUCAAUUAAUAUAAGUGGGAAACUGGGAAUGUUCAAUGAUGGAGAUAGAUUUGUGGACACAAAACAUUUGGGUCUGUUUACUAGCAUAACUGACCUGGUGAUGUGCUAUGUUGUUUGUAAAGAAAAUGUACCGAUGAUCUGAAUGUUUCGUUCAGUAAGGAGUGAGAAAGUAGUCAACUUAUGGAAAGCAGAGCGGGGGAGAGAAAAGUCUGCAGCUUUGUAGCUAUGGUUCGUAUGGCUAUCUAAGACGGGUACAGUGCUGUUAUUAAGUACUCAGGAUUUAAGAUUUAUCUUAUUUAUCUAAAUGUGCAUAUCUCUUAGCAAAUCCAACAGUAAUUUCCCACUUUUCGUUUUCUUUCAAGGCCAGGGGGUGGGUAGGGAGGGGUAGUCAUUAUUUCUGGUUUCACUUCUGCUAUAUCUUCUAAGCUAUGAAAAUCGAAUAUUACAAAAGUGUUGGUUUCUAAAGGAAUGUUUCUUUGUAUUGAUGUCCACUAUUAGGAAUGUAUUCUUAUAGCUUGAACUUAGAGAAUUUGCAUACGGGACAAUUUGGAUAUCAUUUUAUUAUUUUGGUUGAUAAGGAGAAGUGAUCUAUGAGCCAGCACAGGUGAAGCCGGCUCAAGUUAACCGGCAAGACCCUUUAGAAUAACCAGCAAGACCCUUUAGAAGUAGGGGUAUGGGAAUCCUCACCUUAAAAUCCUCCUAAUGGGGUUUGAUCCUAUGACCUUGAGGUUGUGAGACGCAAAUCCUUACCACUAGACCAAUCUUUACUUGGUAUUUCAGUUUCAACCUUAUCUUAAGUCCGGGUUUCAUAAGAUAAUGUAUAAAGAAGCAAUGAAUUUUUCGUUGAUUGUAAUGUUACUUAUGCUUACCCUCUUCUCAACAUUUAGGUAUUUGGGCAUCAAGUGAUUUUAUAUUUAGGAGAUACAGUAGUCUUUGUUGUGAAAGAAAGGCUAAUGAAGAGAAGAUGGUUGGUUUCAGUUAGCAACUACUCAUGAGUCAACUCAAUGUUUUAUUUGUGGCACUUGGUCUUCUUCUUUUUUUUUGUCUGGAAUUAGUUGGCUCAACUCAAUAAAUUGAAAGAUAGUCUAGUUGUACUUUUUAUUUAUCUACUUUGUUCAGGCAUAUGUGUGCUUCCAAACUCAUUUAGGACUUGUUUUGCACCAAUUCAUAUUCACAGAUCCCUUCUGUUUA